rnacentral:lncRNA from 1 species
AUGAUUUGGUUUAGACAGCACACCAAAUUAUUUAUAUCGGUCCAACAAUAUCUCUGUGAUCCCCAUUUGCAACCACCGUCAUAUCCUUCUGUUCCGUCGACCUCCCAAUCAAGCCCACAACAACAAAACAUGACACAACCGUCUCUAUCAUCAUCUCAUCUACAUGUCCCUACUACAGAAGUUCCAUAUCCACCAACGACUCAGUACUACAUUCUGGUUCCAGAAAUACCAACCCCCGGUCAUCCGAUAGAAAGUGGGCUUUUCUAUAAUUUGUUUGGAACUCAG